CGCGGGUCAUGUCGGUAGGCAGCCAUAGAGGGAGCGUGUGCUUGUGGCCGCGGUGGUCAGUGUGGGAGGCCUGCAGGAGCUGGCCGGCCGCUGCCCGCCACUGGUCACCCAGGCACAACCCUAAGGACAGAACGUCGGGGGUUGGCCGAGCACCCCACGAGGCGGGACCGAGGGCGGGGCCAAGGCGGGGUCUGCCAAGCAGCCAACCAGUAGGCGCCGGCGCGAGGCCUCAAUCGCGAGACGAGACGCGUGCGCGGGCCAGCGCAGGGCCGUGCGAGCCUCGGCGUCUCACACAACACAUUCGCGUGUGGGCCUCCUCGGCGCGCGGAGGCGCCUGGAACCUUGGGAGUGGUGCAGUGUUGCACAGUUGCUACCACCCACGCAGUCCCCCGCCAGCUCUGGCCGGCGACGCUACAGAUCAGUGUGUAUCAGUGGCUUAGGUCAAGACUGAUCUGAAUGAGUGAGCUCUGGGAGCCACUAGUGUAGGCUGUGUAGCGCCUCUGCCUCGUGUGGUCCUCCCUGUACCAGACGUGACCUGCAGGGCGCCUGUGCCGGGCGGUCCAUCUCUCCAGCUGCAGCGCGGCUCACGACAACUCUCCCAAAAGAGUGUAUACAAGCUGCUUGAAUAAGACAACACUGAAGGGACGUACAUCACUCUUUCUUGGUCUGUCUGAGGCACCACCACCACCAACAACACCACCACCAUCACCACCACAACCACAACCACCGCCACCACCAGAACCUGUCGACGCAAGAACACCUAAUCCACUGAAGUCUCAUCCACCUACCUACCUACCUACUUACUCGACCUGCCUGCCACCCUCAGCUGCAUUCUCUCCACUUCACCUUUCGCCCAGAUAAGUACAGGCACUAGACGAUCUUGCUAAUAGCGUCUCGGAGCCCUCUAAGUCUUGUUGGGCCGCGUGAAGCACUAGCCAGGAGUCGUGACCAGUUGGAAGAUAAUAAAUGAGUGUGUUUUGCUGGGAAUGUUGACGGCGAAGGGAUGGGAGAAGGAGGAGGAGGAGGAGGAGGAGAAGGAGGAGGAGUGAUAAAAGAGAUUGUGAGGAGAAGAAGAAUAAGGAGGAGGAGGAGAUGGACAAAGUGGACGGGGGAAUAAGACAAUGAGGAAAGAAAGAGAGGGAGAAGUGGAGGUACAGUGCUACAUGUUUGAGGAAAAGAUUAUCUGGUAAGUGUGAGAUUAUGAAGGCAUUUGUCUGUCGCUCGCUGCAUUAUUGUCUCUUUGUCAUGCACCUCCUCGCCUAGCCUCGCCCUUACUCUCGCUGCAGUCACCACUAUCUGAUUAUUUGUUAGGAAAAAGAACAGGAGAUGGAGGAGGAGGAGCAGGAGGACGCGAAGAAGCAACAGGAGGAGGAGGAGAAGAGCAGGUGGGACAGAAGAAGGCGGAGAUGAAGGUAGUGGUGGACAGCAAGAAAAAAAGCCUCAAGAUCAGCGGUAAUCAUGAUGGGUAAUGAUAACUCUUAUUGUCGGAUAAACACUGCUAAGAAGUGAUGUGUGGGCCGCGAGGAGGAAGGGAGGAGGGCAGGAAAGAAGCAGGAUAGAAUAGCUAGGGAGAAGGAGAGUAGAUGGAGAGAGAGGGGGAGAAUAAAAUGAGUGAGGGAGAUGACGGGAGGGAGAGGAACGAAGUAGGGGUUUAGCAAGGGCAAAUAUCCUGCUGCCUCGGGAACGGCGGCGCCCAGGUUGUACUUAAUCUGACAGUGAGUUUGCGGAACAACAGCAACGACGGCGAGUCUUCUUAGGAAAUUCAUCGGGAGUAUUGGCUGCUGGAUAAAGUUUUGUGAGUUUGGUAUUUCACUUCCUCUCUCUCUUUCUCUCUCUCUCUCUCUCUCUCUCUCUCUCUCUCUCUCUCUCUCUCUCUCUCUCUCUCGCCAGUAUCAGUUUCACUAUACUGUCAUUUCCUUCACCACCUCCACCACCAUCACCACCACCACCACCACCACCUCCUUCACACCACCUAUCCCCCUCGGUCCUUCACCCUCACUGCCACACGACACCAUCACCACCACCUGCAUCACCCACACCACCACACUCCCCACACCCCAUAUCACUACUACAACCUGCCAUUUUCACCACGAGUAUAGUUCACUCAGCCUGCCACUAAGUAACUCCCUUCCACCCCUUUUGCAACAACCACCAGUGUCACCCAGUCCACCUUCAGUCAGGCACCUACACCACCCUGGCCUGUCUCACUGUCACCACCACCACCACCACCACCACCACCACCAGCAGGCAGAGUUAGUUAAUGAGGGAUGUUUACGCUUUACUUAAUCAUUAGCUAAGUCAGAAGGGUCACUUGUACACCUGAAGGAGAAACUGCACACCUUGAGAGAGAGAGAGAGAGAGAGAGAGAGAGAGAGAGAGAGAGAGAGAGAGAGAGAGAGAGAGAGAGAGGGGGAAGGGGAAGGGAUGGUGGAAUAAAAAAAAUGGACAUGUUGCUGCUUCUUUCAAUGUCCGUGGGCGUGUCCUUAGCCCAGGUCCGUGACGUGUUGUAAAGGACGUGUGGGUUGCGAGGGAGAAGGUUCAGAAAAAGAAGUGGAAAGAGACUGCGCUACCUGAUCUCUCUCUCUCUCUCUCUCUCUCUCUCUCUCUCUCUCUCUCUCUCUCUCUCUCUCGUAUGAAAAGAGGGAGAGAGAGAGGGAUGGUGUGCCGUGAGGGAUGCUUCAUUCAUCUCAUCUCUUGGGCUUAUUUGUUGAGGUUCAUUUCUCAGUGUUUAUUUACGUUUCUUCGGGUAAUUACUUUGUUCUUGUCUACGAUGCACGAUUAUUAUUUUUUUGAGGCGUUUAUGAGUUUGAGUUUUUCCUUCUUAUCUUUUUUUUUUUUGUUUACUUUUAUGCAGCUUGGUUUUCUGACUCGUAUUUCGGUUUUCUUAUACCUGUUUUAUUUAUUUAUUUUUUUUUUGAGAAUGGCAUAAUGAACUUUUUAAUUAUUUAUUUUUUUAUCUUGUUCGAUUUCCCUAAUACAUAAAAAUAAAUAAAUAAAUAAAAGGCAAUCGUAUUUUAUUUCAUUUUUUUGGCUGAUGGAAUUUGUCGUGUAUAUCUUUGGCGCUGUAUAAGUAUUUUACACAUCAGCUAAGUUACUCCAAAAUCGCCCAAAGUUACUACAAUAAUACCUCAAACUUGUCUCCAAAGUUACCACAAAGUUCUCCCAGAGUUAUCAGAGUUAUCACAAGUCACCAAAAGUUACCUAGUGUCACUUCAUGCCGUCCCAAAAUUAUGUGGCAACACUUUAAUGCACCACAAAUCUUCAUGUUACCUUCCGUCACAUCUCUUUACCACCCGUCACAUUUACCUUCUCUCUCCACCAUCCCGUCACUCCCCGUUACCUCCCGUCUCCUUUACUCUCUCCUUGUCAUUAAGUCAUCCGUGCUGCAUGUUACCUCCAGCCACUUCCCGUCACCUCCCGUCACCUUUACCCUCUAUUCCUCCCCACACCACGUCAUCUUACAACUAGUCACCAUCCCGUCACUUUUCGUCAUUUUCCGCCACCGUUACGCUCUCUCUCUCUCUCUCUCUCUCUCUCUCUCUCUCUCUCUCUCUCUCUCUCUCUCUCUCUCUCUCUCUCUCUCUCUCUCUCUCUCUCCACUGUGUAAGUCACCGUAAACCCAGCCACCGUUCUACUCAUUGUUUCGCCACAACACUUAGUAAACAAAUUACUCAAAUUGUUUUCUGUUAAUUGAUAUAAUUCUAGGUGAUUGUGAUGGAUGGAUGGUGUGUAUGUAUGUAUGUAGGUACGUAGGUAGGUAGUUAGGUACAUAGGAAUAUGACGGGAGUGUGUGUGUGUGUAAUGUUCCCGUCGUCUGCACUCUCUCUCUCUCUCUCUCUCUCUCUCUCUCUCUCUCUCUCUCUCUCUCUCUCUCUCUCUGCAGGGAACGCAUUUUCUCGAACAAGGACUCGCUUAUUUUCACAUUUUCCUUUUUACUGGGGACAAAUUCUUUCUUUCCAGGACACCUUUCUCCUCCUCCUCCUCCUCCUCCUCCUCCUCCCCCUUCCUCCUCCUCCUCUUCCUCCCCCAAGAAGGCCAUACAAGGCUAGUUUCACAUCCCAUUACCUUAUAAAAUGGAGACCCCACUUUUAUUAUUUUUUUAGCUUUCUUUUUGGGUGUAUUUUUUAUUUAUUUAUUUUUUCCAUUAUUCUUUUAUUGCACGAUAUUGGUGCUUUUAUUGUGAGGCUAAAUAUUUGCUGGGUUUUUUGUAAAGAUGUGUAUUUACUUUGUUUAUUGUUUUGGUUUUCUUGAGUGUGUGUGUGUGUGUGUGUGUGUGUGUGUGUGUGUGUGUGUGUGUGUGUGUGUGUGUGUGUGUGUGUGUGUGUGUG